rnacentral:rRNA from 1 species
UAGUCCACGCCGUAAACGAUGAGUGCUAGGUAUCGGGACUUGAUUUCGGUGUCGAAGCUAACGCGUUAAGCACUCCGCCUGGGGAGUACGGUCGCAAGAUUAAAACUCAAAGGAAUUGACGGGACCCGCACAAGCGGUGGAGCAUGUGGUUUAAUUCGAGGCAACGCGAAGAACCUUACCAGUCCUUGACAUCCUGAUCGCGGACCUAUGAGAAUAGGUCUUUCGGUUCGGCCGGAUCAGUGACAGGUGCUGCAUGGCUGUCGUCAGCUCGUGUCGUGAGAUGUUGGGUUAAGUCCCGCAACGAGCGCAACCCUCACUCUGUGUUACCAGCGGUUCGGCCGGGGACUCUCAGAGAACUGCCCGUGACAAGCGGGAGGAAGGUGGGGAUGACGUCAAGUCAGCACGGGCCCUUAUGGACUGGGGCUACACACGUGCUACAAUGGAAACUACAGUGGGCAGCAACACGGCGACGUGAAGCUAAUCUCCAAAAGUUUUC